GGCAGAGGGGGCAAGCGUUGCUCGGAAUUACUGGGCGUAAAGGGCGCGUAGGCGGGAUGGCAAGUCGGUCGUGAAAUCCCUCGGCUCAACCGAGGAACGUCGAUCGAUACUGCUGUUCUUGAGGAUUGCAGAGGAGACUGGAAUUCCCGGUGUAGCGGUGAAAUGUGUAGAGAUCGGGAGGAACACCGGUGGCGAAGGCGGGUCUCUGGGCAGUUCCUGACACUGAGACACGAAGGCCAGGGGAGCAAACGGG
rnacentral:rRNA from 1 species